rfam:Gorilla gorilla gorilla genomic chromosome, chr7, whole genome shotgun sequence
GCUGGGUGUGGUGGCACGCACCUGUAGUCCCAGCUACUUAGGAGGCUGAGGCAGGAGAAUUGCUUGAGCCCGGGAAGUGGAGGUUGCUGUGAACCAAGAUCAUGCCACUGCACUCCAGCCUGGGCAACAGAGCAAGACUCCGUCUCAU